AACGAACGCUGGCGGCAUGCCUAACACAUGCAAGUCGAACGAAGCCUUCGGGCUUAGUGGCGCACGGGUGCGUAACGCGUGGGAAUCUGCCCCUUGCUUCGGAAUAACAGUUAGAAAUGACUGCUAAUACCGGAUGAUGUCUUCGAACCAAAGAUUUAUCGGCAAGGGAUGAGCCCGCGUAGGAUUAGGUAGUUGGUGGGGUAAAGGCCUACCAAGCCGACGAUCCUUAGCUGGUCUGAGAGGAUGAUCAGCCACACUGGGACUGAGACACGGCCCAGACUCCUACGGGAGGCAGCAGUGGGGAAUAUUGGACAAUGGGGGGAACCCUGAUCCAGCAAUGCCGCGUGAGUGAUGAAGGCCUUAGGGUUGUAAAGCUCUUUUACCAGGGAUGAUAAUGACAGUACCUGGAGAAUAAGCUCCGGCUAACUCCGUGCCAGCAGCCGCCGUAACAC
rnacentral:rRNA from 1 species